rnacentral:rRNA from 1 species
CUGGGGUGAUUAGUGGCGAACGGGUGAGUAACACGUGAGUAACCUGCCCCUGACUCUGGGAUAAGCCCGGGAAACUGGGUCUAAUACCGGAUAUGACUACUGGCCGCAUGGUCUGGUGGUGGAAAGAUUUUUUUUGGUUGGGGAAUGGAACUCCGCGGGCCAAUUCAGGCUUGUUGGUGAAGUAGUGACUCACCAAGGCGACGACGGGUAGCCGGCCUGAGAAGGGUGACCGGCCACACUGGGACUGAGACACGGCCCAGACUCCUACGGGAGGCAGCAGUGGGGAAUAUUGCACAAUGGGCGAAAGCCUGAUGCAGCGACGCCGCGUGAGGGAUGACGGCCUUCGGGUUGUAAACCUCUUUCAGUAGGGAAGAAGCGAAAGUGACGGUACCUGCAGAAGAAGCGCCGGGCUAACUACGUGCCAGCAGCCGCGGUAAUACGUAGGGCGCAAGCGUUAUCCGGGAAUUAUUGGGCGUAAAGAGCUCGUAGGCGGUUUGUCGCGUCUGCCGUGAAAGUCCGGGGCUUAACCCCGGAUCUGCGGUGGGUACGGGCAGACUAGAGUGAUGUAGGGGAGACUGGAAUUCCUGGUGUAGCGGUGAAAUGCGCAGAUAUCAGGAGGAACACCGAUGGCGAAGGCAGGUCUCUGGGCAUUAACUGACGCUGAGGAGCGAAAGCAUGGGGAGCGAACAGGAUUAGAUACCCUGGUAGUCCAUGCCGUAAACGUUGGGCACUAGGUGUGGGGAACAUUCCACGUUUUCCGCGCCGUAGCUAACGCAUUAAGUGCCCCGCCUGGGGAGUACGGCCGCAAGGCUAAAACUCAAAGGAAUUGACGGGGGCCCGCACAAGCGGCGGAGCAUGCGGAUUAAUUCGAUGCAACGCGAAGAACCUUACCAAGGCUUGACAUGGACUGGAUCGCCGCAGAGAUGUGGUUUCCCUUCGGGGCUGGUUCACAGGUGGUGCAUGGUUGUCGUCAGCUCGUGUCGUGAGAUGUUGGGUUAAGUCCCGCAACGAGCGCAACCCUCGUUCCAUGUUGCCAGCGGGUUAUGCCGGGGACUCAUGGGGAGACUGCCGGGGUCAACUCGGAGGAAGGUGAGGACGACGUCAAAUCAUCAUGCCCCUUAUGUCUUGGGCUUCACGCAUGCCUACAAUGGCCGGUACAAAGGCUUGCAAUACUGUGAGGUGAAGCUAAUCCCAAAAAGCAGGCUCUCAGUUCGAAUGGGGGUCUGUGCAACUCGACCCCAUGAAGUCGGAGUCGCUAGUAAUCGCAGAUCAGCAACGCUGCGGUGAAUACGUUCCCGGGCCUUGUACACACCGCCCGUCAAGUCAUGAAAGUUGGUAACACCCGAAGCCGGU